UUCCAGAUAAAGAAGCAGGACAAUUUCCGAUGGC
rnacentral:sRNA from 1 species